CCACGCACUACCUGGCGCAGAGCGAGGGAACCACCGCCGGACGGCCAUCUUGCUCUUGGGCCUCCCGGUUAUGCCACGGCGCGCCGCUAGAUGGCGCGAUGGCCAACGCCCCACUCUGGUGCUCUCGGACUGCUCUGAAGAUGGCCCUCUGCCCCUAACAAGUCGUCACUGCCAAGGCCAUCUUGCAUCACACCCGCUUUCCUCAGUGAACCAGACGUCCAAAUCCCAGCCUCUGCACCGAUCAGUAUCACCCUCUCAUCCCCAUCCUGCUCCACGUGCACCCGACAUGGACAUCACCUGUUCUGCCAGUCCGGUGCGGGGCCCUCCUCUUCUUGGUGACAACAUUGCAGCUGGCCUUUGAAGAACCAUUUCCUUACUUGCCAACAUGUGGUUCUGAAAUACACCCACAGUGGUUGGCCUGGGUGGACUGCUAUCACGGACGAACACAUCUGCAGGCUGAGCUUACUCCUCCCUCACACCUGGCGUCUGGAGCGGGGAGAUGGCUGCUGCUUCAGAAUCUGGACACGCACAGCUGUGGGGUGGCACAGCCAAGGGCUGGCUUGCUGUUGCCUCUGGGGUGCCGAGCAUCCCCAGCCUCACCCCAAAUACACACGGCCCUGCAGCCCAUUUCUGCUGAGAUGAGAGGCUUAAAGUCAGCCGUCUGUGACCAUCAUAGCCUGGACUUUAAGUCACAUGUCAGAAAUGGACCCAAAAGGGGGCAUCUGUGGGAAGGAAUGAACACACCUGCUCUGGUUUGGAGCCAGAGAGCCUUCCUGCCCACCUAUGUGCCUCAGUUUCCCUAUCUGAAUCAUCUACCUAAAAACAACAUUGUGCUCUCAGAAUAAAAGCUUUGGAAAGGUCUGAAAAAUAUAAAGACAAAAUCAGCUACAAGUUUCCCAUUAACAUCUUGCUGUUUUCAUUUAUCUUUUAUGUAACCAAAUACAAUUUUGCAUCUUGUUUUUAAA